GUGACCCAGGAGACAGCACAUACACUAAAACUGGAAUGAUACAGGGAAGAUUGGCAUGGCCCCUGCACAAGGAUGACACACAAAUUUGUGAAGCAUUCCAUAUUUUU